rnacentral:rRNA from 1 species
AUACGUAGGGGGCGAGCGUUGUCCGGAAUGAUUGGGCGUAAAGGGCGCGUAGGCGGCCCGGUAAGUCUGGAGUGAAAGUCCUGCUUUUAAGGUGGGAAUUGCUUUGGAUACUGUCGGGCUUGAGUGCAGGAGAGGUAAGUGGAAUUCCCAGUGUAGCGGUGAAAUGCGUAGAGAUUGGGAGGAACACCAGUGGCGAAGGCGACUUACUGGACUGUAACUGACGCUGAGGCGCGAAAGUGUGGGGAGCAAACAGGAUUAGAUACCCUGGUAGUCCACACUGUAAACGAUGAAUGCUAGGUGUAGGAGGUAUCGACCCCUUCUGUGCCGCAGUUAACACAAUAAGCAUUCCGCCUGGGGAGUACGGCCGCAAGGUUGAAACUCAAAGGAAUCGGCGGGG